rnacentral:rRNA from 1 species
ACGAACGCUGGCGGCAGGCUUAACACAUGCAAGUCGAACGGGCCCUUCGGGGUCAGUGGCAGACGGGUGAGUAACACGUGGGAACGUACCUUUCAGUUCGGAAUAACCCAGGGAAACUUGGGCUAAGACCGGAUACGCCCGUAAGGGGAAAGAUUUAUCGCUGAGAGAUCGGCCCGCGUCUGAUUAGCUAGUUGGUGAGGUAAAGGCUCACCAAGGCGACGAUCAGUAGCUGGUCUGAGAGGAUGAUCAGCCACAUUGGGACUGAGACACGGCCCAAACUCCUACGGGAGGCAGCAGUGGGGAAUAUUGGACAAUGGGCGCAAGCCUGAUCCAGCCAUGCCGCGUGAGUGAUGAAGGCCUUAGGGUUGUAAAGCUCUUUCGUCCGGGACGAUAAUGACGGUACCGGAAGAAGAAGCCCCGGCUAACUUCGU